AGUGAACGCUGGCGGCAGGCCUAACACAUGCAAGUCGAACGGAGUGGCGGACGGGUGAGGAAUAUAUCGGAAACUGCCCUGUGGAGGGGGAUAACGUAGGGAAACGUACGCUAAUACCGCAUACGAUUGAAUGUGCCGAUGUGGGAUUAGCUAGUUGGGGGGGUAAAGGCCCACCAAGGCGACGAUCCCUAGCUGGUCUGAGAGGAUGACCAGCCACACUGGAACUGAGACACGGUCCAGACUCCUACGGGAGGCAGCAGUGGGGAAUAUUGGACAAUGGGCGCAAGCCUGAUCCAGCCAUGCCGCGUGUGUGAAGAAGGUCUUCGGAUUGUAAAGCACUUUAAGUUGGGAGGCGUUACCAACAGAAGAAGCACCGGCUAACUCCGUGCCAGCAGCCGCGGUAAUAC
rnacentral:rRNA from 1 species